rnacentral:rRNA from 1 species
UACAGAGGUCCCGAGCGUUGUUCGGAUUCACUGGGCGUAAAGGGUGCGUAGGUGGCUUGACAAGUUUGAUGUGAAAUCUCCGGGCUUAACCCGGAAAAUGCAUUGAAUACUGUAGAGGCUUGAGGUUUGGAGGGGGGACUGGAAUUCUCGGUGUAGCAGUGAAAUGCGUAGAUAUCGAGAGGAACACCAGUGGCGAAGGCGAGUCCCUGGACAACACCUGACACUGAGGCACGAAAGCCGGGGGAGCAAACAGGAU